rnacentral:rRNA from 1 species
AUACGUAGGGGGCGAGCGUUGUCCGGAAUGAUUGGGCGUAAAGGGCGCGUAGGCGGCCCGGUAAGUCUGGAGUGAAAGUCCUGUUUUUAAGAUGGGAAUUGCUUUGGAUACUGUCGGGCUUGAGUGCAGGAGAGGUAAGUGGAAUUCCCAGUGUAGCGGUGAAAUGCGUAGAGAUUGGGAGGAACACCAGUGGCGAAGGCGACUUACUGGACUGUAACUGACGCUGAGGCGCGAAAGUGUGGGGAGCAAACAGGAUUAGAUUCCCUGGUAGUCCACACUGUAAACGAUGAAUGCUAGGUGUAGGGGGUAUCGACCCCUUCUGUGCCGCAGUCAACACAAUAAGCAUUCCGCCUGGGGAGUACGGCCGCAAGGUUGAAACUCAAAGGAAUUGACGGGG